GACGAACCGUGCGAACGUUAUUCGGAAUCACUGGGCUUAAAGCGCGUGUAGGCGGGCCGGCACGUCGGUCGCUGAAAUCCCCCGGCUCAACCGGGGAAGGGGCGCCGAUACGACCGGCCUGGAGGAACGUAGGGGGAGCUGGAACUUCCGGUGGAGCGGUGAAAUGCGUUGAGAUCGGAAGGAACGCCCGUGGCGAAAGCGAGCUCCUGGACGUUUUCUGACGCUGAGACGCGAAGCCAGGGAG
rnacentral:rRNA from 1 species